GUUAUCACACCAGUUCCUGUAUGAUCACUAAAGUUGAGCAAUGUUGAGCCUGGUUAGUACAUAGAUGGGUGACUGCUUGGAAAUACCAGGUACUGUAAG